UCGAAUCACCCUAAUGGGUAAGGAACUGGCCUCCGAAGCCAGGGGUCGUUGGUUCGAGUCCCACGUCGGUUGGAA
rnacentral:tRNA from 1 species